AUAGCCUCAUAGGCUACCAGCGAAUAGGUAGACAAAAAACCUUUUGUUCUUCGACUCUCGCUACAUAGUCGUGAACAUAAUUAGAAGAAUUAAAAGAACGGAUAUUGAAUCCUAUAGAUUUAUUAUCUUAGAAACGAAUCUCAACGAUGGUUCCUUUAAAUCUAAAUAAAAAUUUGUCACACAAAGAAGGUCUUUAUUGUUAAUAAAACAUACCUUAUGAAACGCAAAUAACAAAAUAUUAUACUAUAAUUAAAAAUAAAAAUAAGCUACAACAUACUAUAAUUUGACUACACAGAAACAAUAAUCGACAUUAACCAAAAAAAAUAUUCUAGACUAUUCCGGAAUUUCAAAAAUCGAAUGUCCGUCAAGCGCAUCGAAAUGACGUAAGAGCGCCGAUGCGAACGCUCUCAAUCAGUGAAGAGUAAUAUUGCAGAAGGCUUUUUUCAAUCAACACCGCGCCGUGUCCUCUGGCGGUCGUCUCAUGAAAUAUUUAUGUGAUGUAGGGUAAGGAUAGUGAGGGUAAGUUAAACAAUCAAACGGGAAAAGAAAAACAAGGCAGCAUCUCAACGAAUUUAGCUAGAGACGGCUGACACUGACCCGAAUGUAUCCAGAGUACCAAUUAAGGGUAGGCCCAAAAACGGCACAAACUAACGCGUGCCGCCAACAUUUGCAUUCCAACUGAUUGAUUAUUCAAUUGGACGUUCUGGGAAUGUUACCGUUUCGUUCUGUUAUUCAAAUUCUAUGUUCGGUUCUUUCCACUCAAUUGAAAAUAAUUUUGAAAAUGGAA